UCGAAUUCCUGCAAUUAUACGCUGGAUGUCGUGAUUGGAUUGGACUGCACUACUGUCGCCGUUUUCUACGUAAUUCCUGGCAGCGUGAUUAUUUAAAAUUAUCCAGUGGAAGAAACGAUCACCGACGUUCCUGGAGACAAGAUUGUACUAUACUUUCUAAUUAUAGCAAGACGGCAAAAGAAUAAGAGAUAUACAUAAAUGAAAACCACUGGAAUUUUCUUUCUGAUUAUAUGGGAUUUAGAAAUUUAUGAAUAAAACUGAAGAAAUACGUUGUUACUAUUAACGCGGAUUUUUAUCCGAUUAUCUGGAAUAUCUGGAAGCACAGGAAUACACAGAAAUCGCGUACCAUUUUUUCAUUUGUCACCACGAAAAUUUGCAUAAAUAUCCGCCAGCCUAACGAUCAUCAUAAUCGAGUCUCAUUAGAAUACUAUUAAAAUUUUAAAAUGUGUUUCAUAUUUCAUAUGAACCAGCCUACUAAUUCAUACAGUUGGGGACAAAGCUAAGUUUCUAUUUUUUUAAUUUCCUAUUUUUAUUCUCCAACUGUGAACUAGAUUAUCCAAAAUAUGUAUUUGUAUCGUCGUUGGAAAUAUGAAACGUAUCAGGAGCCGACAGAAAGUUUGUAAAACGGAAUGCGAGAAAUAGAAUGAUGCAAGGUCGAGCUAUCGUCUUACCAAAACAUGUUAUCGGUGACGCCCCCCAUUCGAGUCUGGACUCUCGGGAGAAACAUCUCAGCAUGCACACCCCUUCAACUUCCAGAUAAAUUCCGAUAA